AUACGGAGGAUGCGAGCGUUAUCCGGAUUCAUUGGGUUUAAAGGGUGCGUAGGCGGACUUAUAAGUCAGUGGUGAAAUCCUGCAGCUUAACUGUAGCACUGCCAUUGAUACUGUUAGUCUUGAGUUUGGUUAAGGUAGGCGGAAUGUGUAAUGUAGCGGUGAAAUGCUUAGAUAUUACCCAGAACACCAAUUGCGAAGGCAGCUUACUGGACCGAUACUGACGCUGAGGCACGAAAGCGUGGGGAGC
rnacentral:rRNA from 1 species